rnacentral:rRNA from 1 species
UACAGAGGGGGGCAAGCGUUGUUCGGAAUUACUGGGCGUAAAGGGCGCGUAGGCGGCCUGCUAAGUCGAACGUGAAAUCCCCGGGCUCAACCCGGGAACUGCGUCCGAUACUGGCAGGCUUGAAUUCGGGAGAGGGAUGUGGAAUUCCAGGUGUAGCGGUGAAAUGCGUAGAUAUCUGGAGGAACACCGGUGGCGAAGGCGGCAUCCUGGACCGAGAUUGACGCUGAUGCGCGAAAGCCAGGGGAGCAAAGCGGG